rnacentral:lncRNA from 1 species
UUAGAAGGUGCACGGCCCUACCUCUUCUGAGGUGCCCCUGCGGGCUGUCUACAGACCAGGCAGCACAUGCCUGAUAGCAGCUGCAUAAGGAAAAGCAGGAGCCAGCUCGUGCACAGUGGCUUCAAGUGUGCGCUGGGCAUGUUCUCUGCCUCACCAUCCCUGUGUGACAGAUGAAGCUUCAAGGACCACAGAGGGACAAGUGCAGGAGUAAGAGGCUGGCAUGCUGACAGUGGCCAAGGGCACUGGAGGGAAGGACCUGUCAUCACUGGGCCAAGGAAGGAACUCCAGACUGCCUACUUCCAGAGGGCCUGCUGAGAACCCCAAAGAGCUCUCUCAACAAACACACCCACGAGUUCCAGGAGUGAGGCUGCAGGGAACAGCCUCGCUCUCAGAGGGGAUACAGAAUUGUUCCAGUGGACAAGGGCUGGGACCGUCAUAGGAUGCCGUUGGCCCGUGGUUUCCAACAGAGGUGCAGUUCACUGAACUGUGGUCUACAGUCCAUUCUCUAACUUGGG